GAUGAACGCUGGCGGCGUGCCUAAUACAUGCAAGUCGAGCGAACAGACGAGGAGCUUGCUCCUCUGACGUUAGCGGCGGACGGGUGAGUAACACGUGGAUAACCUACCUAUAAGACUGGGAUAAAUUCGGGAAACAGGAGCUAAUACCGGAUAAUAUAUUGAACCGCAUGGUUCAAUAGUGAAAGACGGUUUUGCUGUCACUUAUAGAUGGAUCCGCGCCGCAUUAGCUAGUUGGUAAGGUAACGGCUUACCAAGGCAACGAGUCGUAGCCGACCUGAGAGGAGGAUCGGCCACACUGGAACUGAGACACGCUCCAGAAUCCUACGUGAGGCAGCAGUAAGGAAACUUCCGCAAUGGGCGAAAGCCUGACGGAGCAACGCCGCGUGAGUGAUGAAGGUCUGCGGAUCGUAAAACUCUAUUAUUAGUGAAGAACAAAUGUGUAAGUAACUAUGCACGUCUUGACGGGACCUAAUCAGAAAGCCACGGCUAACUACGA
rnacentral:rRNA from 1 species